rnacentral:rRNA from 1 species
AACGAACGCUGGCGGCAUGCCUAACACAUGCAAGUCGAACGUGAUCCGGGACUUCGGUUUCGGUGAAAGUGGCGGACGGGUGAGUAACGCGUGGGAACCUGCCCAGUGGUAGGGAGUAACCGCGGGAAACGUGCGGCUAAUACCCUAUGUGCCCUGCGGGGCGAAAGAUUCAUCGCCAUUGGAGGGGCCCGCGUCGGACUAGGUAGUUGGUGGGUAACGGCCGUACC